rnacentral:lncRNA from 1 species
AAGGAAAGUUACAAAGUUUGGGAAUCUAUCUAAAAAGUGAUAUAGCUGGGGCUGAUGGUGUUUUGUACUCAUUUGCCAGGUAGAGCAAGAGCCCAUUAACUGGAAAGAGAAAAAAACAAGAACAUUGGGUGGCAAACAUGGUGUUGGAAAUACCUAUACAAUUUCAUUCUGUAUUGGAGAUGAGGACAGAAGACAUCUAAACUUCCUAUAUGUUCAUAUUGAGACCAAAGGCUGUCAUCGAUAACGUAUUAUACCAAGAAGAAAAAUAACCCUAGGCAGCAGGAGUGGUAUUCUAGAAAGAAAGUUUUUAAGGAAGCAGUUUGGCCUGUGGGAGUUCAGUUCCCGGAUGGACCUAAGAAGAGGUGUUGGCUUUCAGGUCGUGCAGUGGUGUUUACGUCCAAGAACUAAAACUAAAUUCCUAGAGCUGUGGAAUGACAAAGAUGCAAUUAUCUACAUCCUAAGAUGUUAUCAUCCAACAAAGAGGAUUAUUUUUUACUUUUGGCAUGAAGUUGGGGUAGAGGGUGAUCACCUAAUUCAAUCAGCAAUUCUACUGAUUUGAACUGAGUUUUAAUCUUUCUAAGGACAAAUCUACAGGUUAAUUUCUAAUUUAUCCUUACUCUUAAUUGUUAAAGCUCAAACUGCAAGCUUUCAGUAUUUAUUAGUGACCCAUCUCUGUAGUGUCUGUGAAUGACAAAUUUGGUCUUCUUUGCCUGUAUUAAUAAUAACAAGAGGUCUAUUAACCUUCUCAGCUUUUUAACCACCCUUCUUAUUCAAGCUCUUUUACUUGGCUUCUCAGCCUCUUAGUCACCAGCUGCAAAUAGGUGAAAAGAUAUCUCAAAUAAUGUACUCACUUCUAUAUUUUCCUUUUCUUGAUUUUGGGCCCUUAGGUCCUUGAUGUCAGGUUGGCUCUCUGAGGUCAUUGAAUCAAUUUUGUUUAUUUAGUUGAAGAUUUUAUCCACUUUUUUUUAGUUUCCUGUUUCAGCAGGACAAUUGGUCUGUUAGCUUAUUUCACCAUUACUAUAAACAGAAAUCCCAUUUAUUGAUUUAAGCAAAAGAGCAAUCAUAAAUCCAUCAAGGUACCUGGCCAAACUGCUAUUUGAUCCCUAAAAAGAACAAAGUGACGAGAACAAAGAUCAUGGAGAGUCAGAAAAAACAGACUUGAAUAAAACUUUCACUUAAUUUUAACUCA